CCUACGGGUGGCAGCAGUGGGGAAUAUUGCACAAUGGGGGAAACCCUGAUGCAGCGACGCCGCGUGAGUGAAGAAGUACCUCGGUAUGUAAAGCCCUAUCAGCAGGGAAGAAAAUGACGGUACCUGAGUAAGAAGCCCCGGCUAACUACGUGCCAGCAGCCGCUGUAAUACGUAGGGGGCAAGCGUUAUCCGGAUUUACUGGGUGUAAAGGGGGCUUAGACGGGAGCAAAAGGCUGGAGGGAAAUGCCGGGGGUUAACCCCGGAACUGCCGUGGAAACUGUGCGGCUUGAGUGCAGGAGGGGUAAGCGGAAUGCGUGGUGUAGCGGUGAAAUGCGUAGAUAUUAGGAGGAACACCGGUGGCGAAGGCGGCUUACCGGACUGCAACUGACGUUGAGGCUCGAAAGCGUGGGGAGCGAACAGGAUUAGAUACCCGAGUAGUC
rnacentral:rRNA from 1 species